rnacentral:rRNA from 1 species
UACGGAGGGUGCAAGCGUUAUCCGGAUUUACUGGGCUUAAAGGGUGCGUAGGUGGAUUGGUGAGUCAGUGGUGAAAUACUUUCGCUUAACGAAGGAACUGCCAUUGAUACUACCAGUCUUGAAUACAGUGGAGGUGGGCGGAAUGCGUCAUGUAGCGGUGAAAUGCUUAGAUAUGACGCAGAACACCAAUGGCGAAGGCAGCUUGCUACACUGUUAUUGACACUGAGGCACGAAAGCGUGGGGAGCAAACAGG